rnacentral:rRNA from 1 species
CCUACGGGAGGCAGCAGUAGGGAAUAUUGCUCAAUGGGCGCAACCCUGAAGCAGCAACGCCGCGUGGAGGAUGAAGGUUUUCGGAUUGUAAACUCCUUUUGUUAGAGAAGAUAAUGACGGUAUCUAACGAAUAAGCACCGGCUAACUCCGUGCCAGCAGCCGCGGUAAUACGCAGGGUGCAAGCGUUACUCGGAAUCACUGGGCGUAAAGAGCGCGUAGGCGGGAUAGCAAGUCAGAUGUGAAAUCCUAUGGCUUAACCAUAGAACUGCAUUUGAAACUGUUAUUCUAGAGUAUGGGAGAGGUAGGUGGAAUUCGUGGUGUAGGGGUAAAAUGCGUAGAGAUCAGGAGGAAUACUCAUUGCGAAGGCGACCUGCUAGAACAUAACUGACGCUGAUGCGCGAAAGCGUGGGGAGCAAACAGGAUUAGAUACCCUUGUAGUC